ACAUGGGUCAAAGACGAGACGUCACCAUUUUGGUGUCCGCAUCAAAUAUAAUUUACAAAAGUGAUUUUACAUACAAAAAAAACAUAUAAAAUGCAAGUAAAAUGUCUACUUUUAUGUUUCAAAUAACUUUUGUGAAAAUACAAUGACCAAAUAUGAGUUUAAUAAUGCUCCAAAGUGUAAAAUCGUCAUUCAGCGUAAUGGUCCGGACUAUGAUUUUACUAAUACAUUUUUAAAUAAACGUAUAAAAUACCAUGUUAAAAAAAAUAUUUGCUUCCUUGGCAUGUUCACAUAAGUGUUGGCUGUUUUAUAUUAAUAGGACUAUGUGUUAUUUUGUUCGUUAAAUAUUGAAACAACUAGGGGACUUUUGUCCCGAAUAUGCAGUUUGUCAGAGGUCAUUCAGUGUAACGGGAUCAGGAAACCAUUUUGAAAUUAAAUACACAAACAAUACUCAUCAAGCAGUCUGUGACAUCAUCAAAAGACUCCCUGAAGACCAUGUGGUGAUUCAGCAAGAUGCCCACAAACAAAGAGAAAGUUUCUAGGCACUGGCAGAAAGUUAAUGCAGACCCAGUAGCUAGGGCAAUGCAUUUAGCAAGGAGACGAGAAAGCAACCAGAGAAGAAAGCAAGCUGCCUUGGCUGCAAAUCCUGAUCACCUGUCAAUCAGGAAUUUAUCAGAUGCUGCAGCUGAGAAGAGGCGAAAGCAAUGGCGGGAAAAUCAAAGAAAACACAGGGCAGAAGCUAAACGUAUAAGGGCAGUUCUGGAUCUUAUUAUACAGUAUUACCACCUGUUCAGUUCAUUUUUACGAAUAUGAUAUGCAUUAUGGAAUAAAAAUAAUUAUUAAUUUCAGCAUCUACUUCUGUGAUUUGUUAAGGAAUAAAAUGAUACAGAAUAAUAUUCAAAACAUUGCAAUAAUGGAAACAAUGACACUAUUUUUGUCAAAAAUGUCAUUCAGUGUAACAAACCAUGGUCAUUCGGUGUAACAGAUAUAUUUAUGUAGAAAUGAAACAAUAUACUUAUUCUGAGCUGUACUUAUUAAAAUAUUUAAAAUAAUGUGUGAUCCUACAAAAAUUUUAUUUGAUUUGAAUUGAUUUUUACUUCCUUACAAAAACUUCUUGCUG